AUUGGACGCUGGCGGCAUGCUUUGCACAUGCAAGUCGAACGGCAGCGCGGGCUUCGGCCUGGCGGCGAGUGGCGAACGGGUGAGUAAUACAUCGGAACGUGCCCAGUAGUGGGGGAUAGCUCGGCGAAAGCCGGAUUAAUACCGCAUACGACCUGAGGGUGAAAGCGGGGGAUCUUCGGACCUCGCGCUAUUGGAGCGGCCGAUGGCAGAUUAGCUAGUUGGUGGGGUAAGGCCUACCAAGGCGACGAUCUGUAGCUGGUCUGAGAGGACGACCAGCCACACUGGGACUGAGACACGGCCCAGACUCCUACGGGAGGCAGCAGUGGGGAAUUUGGACAAAGGGCGAAAGCCUGAUCCAGCAAUGCCGCGUGUGUGAUGAAGGCCUUCGGGUUGUAAAGCACUUUUGGCGGGAACGAAAAGGACUGUGCCAAUACCACGGUUCGAUGACGGUACCCGCAGAAUAAGCACCGGCUAACUACGUG
rnacentral:rRNA from 1 species